rnacentral:tRNA from 1 species
GCUUGUUUGCUUAGUGGUUAGAGCAUCAGUCCAAGGACUGAAGGGUCACAGGUUCAAUUCCCUGUCAAGCG